rnacentral:rRNA from 1 species
GUGAACGCUGGCGGUAGGCCUAACACAUGCAAGUCGAACGGCAGCACAGUAAGAGCUUGCUCUUCCGGGUGGCGAGUGGCGGACGGGUGAGGAAUACAUCGGAAUCUACUUUUUCGUGGGGGAUAACGUAGGGAAACUUACGCUAAUACCGCAUACGACCUACGGGUGAAAGCAGGGGAUCUUCGGACCUUGCGCGAUUGAAUGAGCCGAUGUCGGAUUAGCUAGUUGGCGGGGUAAAGGCCCACCAAGGCGACGAUCCGUAGCUGGUCUGAGAGGAUGAUCAGCCACACUGGAACUGAGACACGGUCCAGACUCCUACGGGAGGCAGCAGUGGGGAAUAUUGGACAAUGGGCGCAAGCCUGAUCCAGCCAUACCGCGUGGGUGAAGAAGGCCUUCGGGUUGUAAAGCCCUUUUGUUGGGAAAGAAAAGCAGCAGGUUAAUACCCCGCUGCUCUGACGGUACCCAAAGAAUAAGCACCGGCUAACUUCGUG